CAGAACAUAGCUAAGAAGUAAAGCAUCUCACUUACACCGAGACACCGUCCAUGCAAAUUGGACUGUUCUGA
rnacentral:tRNA from 1 species